AACGUAGGUUCCGAGCGUUAUCCGGAUUUACUGGGCGUAAAGCGCGUUCAGGCGGUUUGGCAAGUCGGGCAUGAAAUCUCUCGGCUCAACCGGGAGAGGUUGUCCGAUACUGUUAGACUGGAGGGCAGUAGAGGGUGGUGGAAUUCCGGGUGUAGUGGUGAAAUGCGUAGAGAGUCCGGAGGAACACCAGUGGCGAAAGCGGCCACCUGGACUGC
rnacentral:rRNA from 1 species